UAAAAACCCCGACUUCGGAAGGGGUGUAUUUAUUAGAUACAAAACCAAUGCCCUUCGGGGCUCUUUGGUGAUUCAUGAUAACUAUACGAAUCGCACGGCCUUGCGCCGGCGAUGGUUCAUUCAAAUUUCUUCCCUAUCAACUUUCGAUGUUUGGGUAUUGGCCAAACAUGGUUGCAACGGGUAACGGAGGGUUAGGGCUCGACCCCGGAGAAGGAGCCUGAGAAACGGCUACUACAUCCAAGGAAGGCAGCAGGCGCGCAAAUUACCCAAUCCCGACUCGGGGAGGUAGUGACAAUAAAUACUGAUACAGGGCCCUUUCGGGCCUUGUAAUUGGAAUGAGUACAAUUUAAAUCCCUUAACGAGGAACAAUUGGAGGGCAAGUCUGGUGCCAGCAGCCGCGGUAAUUCCAGCUCCAAUAGUGUAUAUUAAAGUUGUUGUGGUUAAAAAGCUCGUAGUUGAACCUUGGGCCUGGCUGGCCGGUCCGCCUCACCGCGUGCACUGGUCCGGCCGGGCCUUUCCCUCUGUGGAACCCCAUACCCUUCACUGGACGUGGCGGGGAAACAGGACAUUUACUUU
rnacentral:rRNA from 1 species